rnacentral:rRNA from 3 species
GUGAACCUGCGGAAGGAUCAUUGUUGAU